GACGAACGCUGGCGGCGUGCUUAACACAUGCAAGUCGAACGGAAAGGCCCUGCUUGCAGGGUACUCGAGUGGCGAACGGGUGAGUAACACGUGGGUGAUCUGCCCUGCACUUCGGGAUAAGCUUGGGAAACUGGGUCUAAUACCGGAUAGGAACCAUCUUUAGUGUGGUGGUUGGAAAGUUUUUUCGGUGUAGGAUGAGCUCGCGGCCUAUCAGCUUGUUGGUGGGGUAAUGGCCUACCAAGGCGGCGACGGGCAGCCGGCCUGAGAGGGUGUACGGCCACAUUGGGACUGAGAUACGGCCCAGACUCCUACGGGCGGCAGCAGUGGGGAAUAUUGCACAAUGGGCGCAAGCCUGAUGCAGCGACGCCGCGUGGGGGAUGAAGGCCUUCGGGUUGUAAACUCCUUUCGCUAGGGACGAAGCUUUGUUGUGACGGUACCUAGAUAAGAAGCACCGGCUAACUACGUG
rnacentral:rRNA from 1 species